rnacentral:lncRNA from 1 species
AGUCAUGAUUCAAUAAAGGUGCCAGUCCACGGCAGGCAUCAGACAGAAAGGAGACACCUUAUCUGUUGAAUCUACAGAUACUACUUGAAAAAUCACACAUAAUUAAUCCCUUCUCUUAGCGGAGGCUAUUUGAAGCUUUAUCACCAGCUUGUAUGUACGAUUUCAUCUCUAGCUUUCACUGAUGGCUCCGAGAGGGAGUUCAUAAUUUAGACAUGCCUACCACCCCUAUUCUAGUUAGCUAAUAGAAGAAGCUUUGCACUAAAUAACUGAGGGAACACAGAAUAGAGAUACAUAGCAAAUAUUUGCCAAGUGGCCCUGAAGUGGCUUCCCAGAUGGCACGUUCUGGGGAAUAAAGAAGAUACGACAGCCCCAUGGAUAUCAGUAUGACAUCUGAUGGUCCUCCCGCGACCCUCUGUGUACAGGGGUGGGCAGUCAAUGGGAAUUCGUUUUACCAUGGCAGUGCUCUUAUAUAGGCUAGAAAAAAUAUAUACGCAGAAAGAGGGAGAGAGACAUAUCUCACGUAACCCAACCUGUGGCCCCCGUGAGGCUCUCCACUAAAGGAAGUUGUGAUGAUUGAAAUUCAUCACACCGUGUGAAUUCUCCUGGGUCAGGAAAAACUGGCAUUGGCAGAAUCUGAACUUAAUAGUAUUUGCAAAGUUACUCUUAUGUCAGAACAUGUUUGCCCAACCAUGAUCGUCUCCUCCCUCUUUAUCUAUAAACACAUAUACACUGUAGAUAUUUAUGGACUAAUAGGUAUAUGAAAUCAUUUAUGCAAGUUGUAAUUGACUGUGUAAUUAUUGAAUAAACAGCGGAUGAAAGGAAAUGUGAGGCAUGCAUUUUCCCUUGGGCAACAUCAGAUGAGAACAGCAUUUCAUUUGCAUCGCAGGGGAGACGGACAGACAAACAGAAAGCAGAGAGACAAACAGAAAAUCAGAGGCAGCAUCGUGCUUGGACACCUCCAAGAAUUCAACUGCCUUCAACAAAUUCUAUCAAAUCCCUACUGUGUGCCAGGCGCUAGGAUACGAGGAGGACUUGUCAUCAAUGCUGGAUUGCCCAGUGUGCAGACGAGACCCUCACUUACAAGUCCAGAAAGCAUGGCUGAGAGAGAGCAGAAUGUUCUGGGCACAAAGAACAGCAGGGAGGUUGUCCUGAGGCAACACCCAGUUUGGUGAGUCUCAGGGACUGAAAAGUGCCCACUGCUUCAGUGAAGCUGAAAGGGUAAGUAUGUCUCUUACUCAUUUGCCAUAGGACAGGGGUUAGUCAACAUCUUUUUUUGUAAAUAUUUUGGUAAAUAUUUAGUAAAAUAUUUAUUUUAUUUUAUUUAUUUAUUUAGUAAAAUAUUUAGUAAAUAUGUUAGGCGUUACAGGCCUUGGGGUCUCUGUCGCAAUUAUUCAACUAUGACAUUAUAGUGCAAAAAAACAUACACCAUAAACAAGUGUGGAUGGCUGCAUUCCAAUAAAACCAUACAUGCGGGCA